rnacentral:rRNA from 1 species
GACGAACGCUGGCGGCGUGCUUAACACAUGCAAGUCGAACGGAAAGGCCCUACUUUUGUGGUGUGCUCGAGUGGCGAACGGGUGAGUAACACGUGAGUAACCUGCCCUUGACUUUGGGAUAACUUCAGGAAACUGGGGCUAAUACCGGAUAGGAGCUCCUGCUGCAUGGUGGGGGUUGGAAAGUUUCGGCGGUUGGGGAUGGACUCGCGGCUUAUCAGCUUGUUGGUGGGGUAGUGGCUUACCAAGGCUUUGACGGGUAGCCGGCCUGAGAGGGUGACCGGCCACAUUGGGACUGAGAUACGGCCCAGACUCCUACGGGAGGCAGCAGUGGGGAAUAUUGCACAAUGGGCGGAAGCCUGAUGCAGCAACGCCGCGUGCGUGAUGACGGCCUUCGGGUUGUAAACCGCUUUCGCCUGUGACGAAGCGUGAGUGACGGUAAUGGGUAAAGAAGCACCGGCUAACUACGUG